CCUACGGGAGGCUGCAGUGAGGAAUAUUGGUCAAUGGGCGCGAGCCUGAACCAGCCAAGUAGCGUGAAGGAUGACUGCCCUACGGGUUGUACACUUCUUUUAUAAAGGAAUAAAGUGAGGCACGUGUGCCUUUUUGUAUGUACUUUAUGAAUAAGAAUCGGCUAACUUCGUGCCAGCAGCAGCGGUAAUAAGGAGGAUCCGAGCGUUAUCCGGAUUUAUUGGGUUUAAAGGGAACGUAUAGGGUUUUUUAAGUCAGUUGUGAAAGUUUGCGGCUCAACCGUAAAAUUGCAAUUGAUACUGGCAGCCUUGAGUACAGUUGAGGUAGGCGGAAUUCGUGGUGUAGCGGUGAAAUGCUUAGAUAUCACGAAGAACUCCGAUUGCGAAGGCAGCCUACUAAACUGCCACUGACAUUGAUGCUCGAAAGUGUGGGUAUCAAACAGGAUUAGAUACCCGAGUAGUC
rnacentral:rRNA from 1 species